UUCAUUUGAAAAGGCGGAAGAUAUGAAGGUUCCAACUCCCAACUAUUAAAGAUACUAUUGGGAUGCUUUAGUAAUCUAUUGAGCACCUCAACGACUUAAAAGGACGGCCUUUAGGUAUUGAAGAUAUCUUGCUGGAGAUAAUCAAACUGCUAACACCCCUACGAGGCGAGCUCAAGUGGUCAAGCCAACCACAGCGACAUCAUUAUGCGCCAAACACACACAAUUCCAUCUUGAUCCAUGUAGUGUGCUGCAUGCGUGCUGCUCUGCAUGCAUUCCCCUUUGUGAACCGAAGAACAUUCUUACCGCAAUCUCGAGGUUGAUUGAAGCUUGAGUCAAUAUGGGUUUUCUCGCUGAUUUAGAUCAACAAAACACCAUGAUCACAUUUGAAUUUUAAAAAUUCUAACACUAUUGGCCCCUCUUCUCCUAACAAGUUAAAAUUUGAAUUCCUAGCUCCACCAAUGAUGCCAUCACUAGUCACUCAUACCGGUGCAGUCAUUAUGGAACAAUUAACUACUCAUUAUGCUUAGGCUAGUCCCAGUGCAAGGUUUCAUUGCACUGUUUCCAAGGAUGCCACAUCAUCAUUUGAGAUGUAUUCUCAUGAAUGAAAUAGGGAGUCCCAGUGCAUAGUUUCAUUUCACGAUUUCAUAGGAUGUCCAUGACAUUUAAUUGUGAGGCAUGUGAUUGGAUAUGGUUAGAUGAGAUGAAACUCUAUAGCCCCCAAUGCAAGUUUCAAUAGGUUUCAUAGUCUUGGAAACAAUGUAUACACAGUUUCAUCCUGAUGAAACUCCUUCCCUCUCUCACUUCAUAACUACCAUGCCAUGUCAUCACAUAUGCUGAUGUGUCACCGUAUUUAAUGUGCAUGAAACCUCUAUAAAACUCCCACUGGGAUUAGCCUCAUAGCAGUUGAUCUCGCAUUACACGAGCCAAAUUAAAGAAUUCGUCUGAAAGCUCAAUCGAGGUGCUCUUCAACCGCAAGAUUAUUCAGCAUGUAGCAUGAUGCGACUCUGAAAGACGCCAGCUAAAAACAUACCAUGCCAGUUGACGUGUAAAAGCAGCGCUAGUAGUUACUUAAGUUUCAUGUUUUCUUUUCUCUGAACUGCAGAUCCGGCCUACUAAGUUGGCAUCUGCUGCUGCAGAGGUUGCUCAGACCGAAGUAGUUGUGGUAAAGCGCACUGAGAUCAGAGCAUAGAGCAACAAAUGCAGAUCCUUUGGAGAAAAGGGAGCAAGACGCUCAUAUAAUCCCAUUUGACACGAGGCUAACAUCCCAAGGUUAUUAAUAUUGGGGGCAUGUUCUGAUUAGUUUUAUCGUCGUUGC
rnacentral:lncRNA from 1 species